rnacentral:rRNA from 1 species
CCUACGGGGGGCAGCAGUGGGGAAUAUUGGACAAUGGGGGGAACCCUGAUCCAGCCAUGCCGCGUGUGUGAAGAAGGCCCUCGGGUUGUAAAGCACUUUCAGUGAGGAAGAACGCCUGGUGGUUAAUACCCAUCAGGAAAGACAUCACUCACAGAAGAAGCACCGGCUAACUCCGUGCCAGCAGCCGCGGUAAUACGGAGGGUGCGAGCGUUAAUCGGAAUUACUGGGCGUAAAGCGCGCGUAGGUGGCUUGAUAAGCCGGUUGUGAAAGCCCCGGGCUCAACCUGGGAACGGCAUCCGGAACUGUCAAGCUAGAGUGCAGGAGAGGAAGGUAGAAUUCCCGGUGUAGCGGUGAAAUGCGUAGAGAUCGGGAGGAAUACCAGUGGCGAAGGCGACCUUCUGGACUGACACUGACACUGAGGUGCGAAAGCGUGGGUAGCAAACAGGAUUAGAUACCCUAGUAGUC